rnacentral:rRNA from 1 species
CUACACAUGCAGUCGAGCGGUAACAGAAGUAGCUUGCUACUUUGCUGACGAGCGGCGGACGGGUGAGUAAUGCUUGGGAACAUGCCUUGAGGUGGGGGACAACAGUUGGAAACGACUGCUAAUACCGCAUAAUGUCUACGGACCAAAGGGGGCUUCGGCUCUCGCCUUUAGAUUGGCCCAAGUGGGAUUAGCUAGUUGGUGAGGUAAUGGCUCACCAAGGCGACGAUCCCUAGCUGGUUUGAGAGGAUGAUCAGCCACACUGGGACUGAGACACGGCCCAGACUCCUACGGGAGGCAGCAGUGGGGAAUAUUGCACAAUGGGCGCAAGCCUGAUGCAGCCAUGCCGCGUGUGUGAAGAAGGCCUUCGGGUUGUAAAGCACUUUCAGUCAGGAGGAAAGGUUAGUAGUUAAUACCUGCUAGCUGUGACGUUACUGACAGAAGAGCACCGGCUAACUCCGUGCCAGCNGCCGCGGUAAUACGGAGGGUGCGAGCGUUAAUCGGAAUUACUG